GCUCUCUUUGGCAGAACAUAUACUAAAAUAUUGGAAUGAUACAGAGAAGAUUAGCAUGGCAUGAAAAAUGGCAUGCAAAUCCGUGAAGCCUUCCAUAGAAAG